GGCUUAGCUGGGCUGGGCUGAACUGGGCUGAGCUGGGCUCAGUGGACUCAAAUGGGCUCAGCUGAGCUGAGCUGAUCUGGGCUGAGCUGAGCUGAGCUGGGAUGGGCUGGGCUGGGCUGGGCUGAAGUGGACUAAGCAGGGAUGGGCCGGGAUGGGCUUGGCUCAGCUGCACAGAAUUGGCCGAGGUGGGCCAAGCUAAACUGAACUGGCCUGGUCUGAGCUGGGCUGGGCUGAGCUCAGCUGAACUGAGUCUACCUGGCCUGAGGUGGCUAUUUCCUAUCAGCCUGGCUUAGCUAAAGUCUAUUGGGCUGAAGUGUGCUGAGCCAACCUACUAUGUUUCCCUGUCUGGCUGGGCCUCCACCCAGGGCCCCCACAUCUUCCCCUUGGCCCCGUGCUGCAAAGCCGCCACCGAAGACCCCUUGAGGCUGGGCUGCCUGGUCAUGGGCUACUUCCCAGAGCCCGUCAGCGUGACCUGGGACACGGGCUCCCUCAGCAAGAGCGCCACGACCCUCCAGGCCUCCGCGCUUGGGACCUCCGGCCUCUACUCCACCACCAGCUGGGUGACUGCCUCGAGCGAGGAGGCCAAGCAAGAGUUCACCUGCAGGGUGGUGCAUGCCCCCUCCGGCACCCACGACAACACGACGGUCAGAGCAUGCUCUGCUUCCUUCUCCACACCCACGGUGAAGCUGUUCCACUCCUCCUGCGAGCCCCCUGAGGGCACCUCCUCGCCCGUCCAGCUCCUGUGCCUCAUUUCCGGCUACACCCCAAGUGACAUGAAGGUCACCUGGCUGGUGCAGGGGCAGGAGGCCGAGAAUGCAAUCUGGUAUACCGCCCCAGACAAGAUUGAGGGUGAGCUGGCCUCCACACGCAGCGAGCUCAAUAUCACCUGGCUAGAGUGGGUGUCCGAGAAGACCUACACCUGCCGGGUCACCUACCGAGGACAAAACUUUGAGGACAGCACCCGGAGGUGCACAGACUCCGACCCUCGAGGUGUGACCGCCUACCUGAGCCCACCCAGCCCCCUGGAGCUCUACGUCCAAAAGUCGGCCAAGAUCACCUGCCUGGUGGUGGACCUGGCCAGCAAGGAGGGCCUGAGCCUGACCUGGUCCCGGGACAGCAGGAAGCCCGUGACUCCCGGGUCCCCAGACGUCAGGAAGCAGUACAACGGGACGUUCACUGCCAUGUCCACCCUGCCGGUGGAGGCCAGCGACUGGGUCAAGGGCGAGACCUAUGAGUGCAGGGUGACCCACCCCGACCUGCCCAGGGACCUCGUGAGGACCAUCAGGAAGGCGGACGGCCAACGCAUCCGCCCAGAGGUCUACGUGUUCCCGCCACCUGAGGAGGACCAGGAGACCCGGAGCACACUCACCCUCACCUGCCUGAUCCAGAAUUUCUCGCCCGCGGACGUCUCGGUGCAAUGGCUGCGAAACCAGGUGCCGCUGCCGGACGCCCAGCACAGCACGACGCCGCCGCGCCUGGCCCCAGGCAGGGCCAACGGCACCGGCUCUGCCUUCUUCGUCUUCAGCCGCCUGGAGGUGGCCCGGUCACAGUGGGACCAGAACGACGAGUUCACCUGCCGCGUGGUCCAUGAGACGCUGCCCGGGGACGACAGGACCUUCGAGAAAGCGGUGUCUAGGACCUUCGGGAAAGCGGUGUCUAAAACUCCCGGUAAAUGACGUCCUCGCACCCCUCCCUCCCAGGGCUCCGUCCAGCAGGGACAAGGGAGGACAGCAGCCAGACCCCUGCCCGCCGCGGGGCAGCGCUGGGAAGCGCCCAAUAAACGCUCGGU